UACAGAGGUCUCAAGCGUUGUUCGGAUUCAUUGGGCGUAAAGGGUGCGUAGGUGGCGCCGUAAGUCAGGGGUGAAAUCCUGGAGCUCAACUCCAGAACUGCCUUUGAUACUGGCGAUCUUGAGUCCGGGAGAGGUGAGUGGAACUGCGAGUGUAGAGGUGAAAUUCGUAGAUAUUCGCAAGAACACCAGUGGCGAAGGCGGCUCACUGGCCCGGUACUGACGCUGAGGUGCGAAAGCGUGGGGAGCAAACAGG
rnacentral:rRNA from 1 species